CAAUUGGUCGCAGGUUCGAAUCCUGCACGACCCACCAAUUUAACAUCAAACUCAGAUGUUGAGCGUGAAGGAUAACGUUGCGUCAGCAACGGCCCGAAGGGCGAGCGAAGCGAGUCAUCCUGCACGACCCAUCA
rnacentral:sRNA from 1 species